UACGAAGGGGGCUAGCGUUGCUCGGAAUCACUGGGCGUAAAGCGCACGUAGGCGGACUCUUAAGUCAGGGGUGAAAUCCUGGAGCUCAACUCCAGAACUGCCUUUGAUACUGAGAGCCUUGAGUCCGGAAGAGGUAAGUGGAACUGCGAGUGUAGAGGUGAAAUUCGUAGAUAUUCGCAAGAACACCAGUGGCGAAGGCGGCUUACUGGUCCGGUACUGACGCUGAGGUGCGAAA
rnacentral:rRNA from 1 species